AUACGGAGGGUGCAAGCGUUACUCGGAAUCACUGGGCGUAAAGGACGCGUAGGCGGGUUGGCAAGUCAGAUGUGAAAUCCUACAGCUUAACUGUAGAACUGCAUUUGAAACUGCUAACCUAGAGUAUGGGAGGGGGAGAUGGAAUUAGUGGUGUAGGGGUAAAAUCCGUAGAUAUCACUAGGAAUACCGAAAGCGAAGGCGAUCUCCUGGAACAUAACUGACGCUCAGGCGCGAAAGCGUGGGGAGCAAACAGGAUUAGAAACCCUAGUAGUCC
rnacentral:rRNA from 1 species